GGCUCGGUAGCUUAGUUGUUAAAGCACUUGUCUAGCGAAUAAAAAGGGUCGUGAGUUCAAAUCUCACCUGAGCUG
rnacentral:tRNA from 1 species